rnacentral:lncRNA from 1 species
AAUUAGUUAUCGAUGCCACUUUGAUUAUCAAAAAAUUCCUCUUCUCCAAUUUGAAAAUAAUAAAAAUACUAAAGAAAAUAAAAACUUGAAUCAAAUGUAAACAAAAAAGAAUCGAUUGCAAAAACAGCCGAAGGAUAAUUUAAAAUACGAUUUUCCAUUUGACAAACCACUGCUCAUAAUUUCUUCAGCUUCUGUCCCCGCAGCCCAUUCCAGAAAGCAGCUGCUUUGACCACAUUUUUUCCUGGAAGCUGAACUUCCAAAACCUGAGUUACAACAU